rnacentral:rRNA from 1 species
GACGAACGCUGGCGGCGUGCUUAACACAUGCAAGUCGAACGGAAAGGCCCUGCUUUUGUGGGGUGCUCGAGUGGCGAACGGGUGAGUAACACGUGAGUAACCUGCCCUUGACUUUGGGAUAACUUCAGGCAACUGGGGCUAAUACCGGAUAGGAGCUCCUGCUGCAUGGUGGGGGUUGGAAAGUUUCGGCGGUUGGGGAUGGACUCGCGGCUUAUCAGCUUGUUGGUGGGGUAGUGGCUUACCAAGGCUUUGACAGGUAGCCGGCCUGAGAGGUUGACCGGCCACAUUGGGACUGAGAUACGGCCCAGACUCCUACGGGAGGCAGCAGUGGGGAAUAUUGCACAAUGGGCGGAAGCCUGAUGCAGCAACGCCGCGUGCGGGAUGACGGCCUUCGGGUUGUAAACCGCUUUCGCCUGUGACGAAGCGUGAGUGACGGUAAUGGGUAAAGAAGCACCGGCUAACUACGUG